rnacentral:SRP_RNA from 2 species
GGCCGGGUCCUGUGCAAUUUUAGUUCGUGAAUCGAGUCAGGGCGGGAACGCAGCAGCUCUCAACGAAGCCUAAAGUGUGCCGCAGAUCGCCUGGUCGUC